rnacentral:rRNA from 1 species
GUCUACGGCCAUGCUACCUUAAGCCUGAUCUCGUCUGGUCUUGGAAGCUAAGCAGGGUCAGGCCUGGUUAGUACUUGGAUGGGAAACCACCUAGGAAGACCAGGUGCUAUAGGCA